UACGGGGGGGGCAAGCGUUGUUCGGAAUUACUGGGCGUAAAGGGCUCGUAGGCGGCCAACUAAGUCACACGUGAAAUCCCUCGGCUCAACCGGGGAACUGCGUGUGAGACUGGAUGGCUUGAGUUUGGGAGAGGAAUGCGGAAUUCCAGGUGUAGCGGUGAAAUGCGUAGAUAUCUGGAGGAACACCGGUGGCGAAGGCGGCAUUCUGGACCAAUACUGACGCUGAGGAGCGAAAGCGUGGGGAGCGAACAGG
rnacentral:rRNA from 1 species